GAUGAACGCUAGCGGCAGGCCUAACACAUGCAAGUCGAGGGGCAGCACAGAAACAGCAAUGUUUUGGUGGCGACCGGCGGACGGGUGCGUAACGCGUAUGCAACCUACCUUUAACAGGGGGAUAACGGAGAGAAAUUUCCACGACCCCAUAACAUCGAUCAAGGCAUCUUGAUUGGUUGAAAACUCCGGUGGUUAAAGCUGGGCAUUCGUUGUAUUAGGUAGUUGGUGAGGUAAUGGCUCACCAAGCCUACGAUACAUAGGGGGACUGAGAGGUUAGCCCCCCACACUGGUACUGAGACACGGACCAGACUCCUACGGGAGGCAGCAGUGAGGAAUAUUGGUCAAUGGGGGCAACCCUGAACCAGCCAUGCCGCGUGCAGGAAGACGGCUCUAUGAGUUGUAAACUGCUUUUAGACAGGGAUAAAGCACAGUAUGUAUACUGUGUUGAAGGUACUGUAAGAAUAAGGAUCGGCUAACUCCGUGCCAGCCGCCGCCGUAA
rnacentral:rRNA from 1 species